ensembl:lncRNA
GCGAGCAGAACAGCUAUGUGCUAGUUUUACACCAAACGCAAGUUUUAGCCACUGGGGGACCAUAGGCAGGCUAGGGGAACUCAUAUUUAUGUUAGAAAACCUCACAAAGUGAGAUUUUCAUGUCAUGGGACCUUUAAACUAGGCAAGGUUCCACGAAGCUUUGACAUAAUCCAGAGUGGUAGAUAUAACAGAGUGGCGACACUUCCAUUGGACUCCGUUGUAGCGCCUACUUCCGGGGUAUGGAGCCUCGAAUAGUUCCAAAAAACUAUUUUACGGCGUAGGAGAUCAUUCAUUUCCAUUGCUGGCCGUCGAGUAACUUCUGAGACGACCGAUUGCCUGCUGGUUUGUUAGCUCGACUUCGCCAUGUGAAGUUGCCUUAUUAGGUCCUCCACAGUCACCCCAUCAGUCCCUGGCAGUCUAGUCCCUGGAUCACCUGCCCCUGGAUCACCUGCCCCUGGCAAAGUGGCCUCUUGAUUGCUCUCUCUGUCUCCUGUCAUGUCCUUUUCAUCGCUCUUGAAAUCCACCUCAAUUUCUCCCUCAAUCUCUCUAACAAUUACAAGGUAAUGUUGCUGUUAUAUGUAUUUUGCCUUUGCAUUUGCAACUACUGUCAUCUCCAAUGUAAGGCAAUGUAAGAAAAUUAAAUAAAGCGAAACAUUUCUGUAAUGUGAAUUAAAUCAUCUGCCACAAUAAGAAACCAAUAAAAUGUAUAAAUGGAUCUACCGGCAAUUGUAAAUUGGGUAGAAAUGUGUCGAUUAUCCACAUUGUGUUCAAAUCCUCAGAAUCCCUGACCUCUGGUUGUUUCUUAAACUGAAUGUACAAAUAUGAAUUAUGCAAUCUCAUUAGGAGUGUAGUCUAUCCUUGAAUUACAUGAAAUGGGGAAUAUUGUUAGCUGCAUGGAUCAUACCGAAGUUUAAUUUGGUGAAAUAUGUGUGGUCCGUUGCACUUGGUUCUGGAGGCCCCCUCACAGAAGGGCGUUUCCUCCUCUUCGGCUUAGGGCGAUGAAUGAAAACUGUUGGUACUGCAUAGGGCCUCAGCUUCAACAUCCCUUCUCUUUUUGUGGCAG